AAUUUGAAGAUAUCAGCGCAAGCACCCACAGCAUCUGGGUUAACCCAUUCUUCACAUAGAAAGGAUAACUCAGAAUUGAACCAAGAAAAUUUUGGGAUGAUGUCAGAAAAUACGAGUACAACACCAUCAAAUAACGCAUUUUCAACUAGAAUGCAACCUGGACCCACAAAUUCAGGUUCUCAAACUGGCAGUUAAAGUGAUCUCCAAUCAAAUUUGAAGAUAUCAGCGCAAGCACCCACAGCAUCUGGGUUAACCCAUUCUUCACAUAGGUAAGUAAAUAAUAUAAUCAACAUAUUAACUGUAAUGUUAGGUGCCAUGUCAUCAUGGCUCACCACACUGAAAUU